UACGGGGGGGGCAAGCGUUGUUCGGAAUUACUGGGCGGAAAGGGCUCGUAGGGGGCCAACUAAGUCAGACGUGAAAUCCCUCGGCUUAACCGGGGAACUGCGUCUGAUACUGGAUGGCUUGAGUUCGGGAGAGGGAUGCGGAAUUCCAGGUGUAGCGGUGAAAUGCGUAGAUAUCUGGAGGAACACCGGUGGCGAAGGCGGCAUCCUGGACCGACACUGACACUGAGGAGCGAAAGCCAGGGGAGCAAACGGG
rnacentral:rRNA from 1 species